rnacentral:rRNA from 1 species
AACAGGAUUAGAUACCCUGGUAGUCCACGCCGUAAACGAUGUCGACUUGGAGGUUGUGCCCUUGAGGCGUGGCUUCCGGAGCUAACGCGUUAAGUCGACCGCCUGGGGAGUACGGCCGCAAGGUUAAAACUCAAAUGAAUUGACGGGGGCCCGCACAAGCGGUGGAGCAUGUGGUUUAAUUCGAUGCAACGCGAAGAACCUUACCUGGUCUUGACAUCCACAGAACUUUCCAGAGAUGGGUUGGUGCCUUCGGGAACUGUGAGACAGGUGCUGCAUGGCUGUCGUCAGCUCGUGUUGUGAAAUGUUGGGUUAAGUCCCGCAACGAGCGCAACCCUUAUCCUUUGUUGCCAGCGGUCCGGCCGGGAACUCAAAGGAGACUGCCAGUGAUAAACUGGAGGAAGGUGGGGAUGACGUCAAGUCAUCAUGGCCCUUACGACCAGGGCUACACACGUGCUACAAUGGCGCAUACAAAGAGAAGCGACCUCGCGAGAGCAAGCGGACCUCAUAAAGUGCGUCGUAGUCCGGAUUGGAGUCUGCAACUCGACUCCAUGAAGUCGGAAUCGCUAGUAAUCGUGGAUCAGAAUGCCACGGUGAAUACGUUCCCGGGCCUUGUACACACCGCCCGUCACACCAUGGGAGUGGGUUGCAAAAGAAGUAGGUAGCUUAACCUUCGGGAGGGCGCUUACCACUUUGUGAUUCAUGACUGGGGUGAAGUCGUAACAAGGUAACC